UGGGGUGGAGGCUCCUGGCUGGGAUCUGCACCUGGUGAGGGAUCUGGGAGCUGCUUGCGGGUCUGUGGGUUACAGGACAAGGAGUGAGGCACAGGCAGGCACCACUGCAGACAUUCCAGUCAUGCUCCAGAAGGAGCAAGACUUGGUGCUGCUGAGCACGUGUUUCUCCUGGACCAGGCUGCUCCAAUUUCAGUAAUCAGUGGGUAGAGUUUGCAAGAACUAAAACCAGCUUGCACAGAAAGUGAAAGGACCAAGCUUUCCUAAACCCACCAUCCCCAGCUUCUGUGGGAAGGACUCCGAGCAUCUCCUCUGGAUGACACAGAUGCAGAAUGGCACAAGCCACAUCCUGGCUGGAGACUGCAUCACUUCAUGGACCGUAAAAAGCUCAGCAGUCAUCAAGGAGAAAAAAUUUCAGAACUGUUCCACCAGCUGUAGGUUUUACAAGCAUUUGAAAAGUUUUUAGUACUAUGACUUACUGUGUCUCAAAAGGAAAAGACUUGUGUGAAGUUGUCUGUGAGGUGAUGAAAGUCCAAGACAUGAUACAGAGGGGGAAAAGUCAAGUUAAUGUGUCUGCCCUGGCUCUGGAGUAUGAUGGUGUGCAGGAGCUGUGCUGCCCCUUGGACCCCACAGAGCCUCACAGCCUCCUCUGUUGU